AGAAUCAACGCUGGCGGCGUGCCUAACACAUGCAAGUCGAACGAGAAAGUGGGAGCAAUCCCACGAGUAAAGUGGCGCACGGGUGAGUAACACGUGACUAACCUACCCUUGAGUGGGGGAUAACCUAGGGAAACCUGGGCUAAUACCGCAUAAUACCUACGGGUCAAAGGAGCAAUUCGCUUUAGGAGGGGGUCGCGGCAGAUUAGUUAGUUGGCGGGGUAAUGGCCCACCAAGACAGUGAUCUGUAUCCGGCCUGAGAGGGCGCACGGACACACUGGAACUGAAACACGGUCCAGACUCCUACGGGAGGCAGCAGUGGGGAAUUUGCGCAAUGGGGGAAACCCUGACGCAGCAACGCCGCGUGGAGGAUGAAGCCCCUUGGGGCGUAAACUCCUUUCGAUCGGGAAGAUAAUGACGGUACCGGAAGAAGAAGCCCGGCUAACUUCGCGCCAGCAGCCGC
rnacentral:rRNA from 1 species